AUUGGUAUCAAGUAGAGUCUUCAAAAACUAAACUUCCUGGAACAUUCUUCUGUCCAUAAUGCCCCAGAACUUGCCAGUCAAGAUGAAAAACUUCUUCUAAUGGAAUCCAGCUUGAAAGCUACUCAAGAGCAGCUAACUGAGCAAAUAGCAGAAACAGUUCGCCAAGAACAGAACAGUAGAAAACCCCAGGCAGAGCUGAAGACAGUGACAGAAGGGAUUAUUGCUUCUGAAGAAGAAAAAAAAUGAUUACAAAAUCACCUAUUUUACCGUCUUUUACAACUUCGUUGUAGGAGGUGUGAAAGAGGAGGGAAAUUGUGUUGUUUGAUGGAGAGACUCAAAUUAACAAAGAACUGUGGAAUAUUUCUAGCCAAAAGCCACUGGGGAACUGAUUCCUGCCAACAACCACUGAACUUCGAAGUAGAUCCAUCAGCAACUGGACCCUCAGAUGCGACCCAUGUAUGACACCUUGAUUGGGAUCCUGUGAGAGACCCUCAGGCAGAGCACCUAGUUAAGUCAAACUCAGAUCGCUGACUCCCAGAAACUGUAAGCACUCUCCUGCAUACCUGUCACCAAACCUCCAGGUCAAUCUCACAUUUACUCUUGAAGAAAUGGAGUCGAAGAUGAAAUAGAAAAUAAUUAGAUAAUGAAAUGCUAAUAUAGGAAUUGAAUGUCAGCUGCAGUGCUCAGAAGCAUAAGAUUGUGAUAAAUGUUUUGGAGGAAAAUAGAAAGAAGGCUGUGGUUUGAAACGUCUCAACAAACUUCCAAUCAUGCAAAACUUGAGGGAACGAGGAACAGCAAAGCUUGGCACUUUGGAAGCUUGAUAACAUCACAGCAUGGAAGAAAAGUGGAAGGAAGUUAUCACAAAGGAAUAACAAACAACGUGCUCUCCUUAAGCCAUCCUGACUACUCUAACAUCCUGCUUCCACUAAAAAUACUGACGGCCAAAUUCACAAAUAAGAGACAAGAUGGAAACUGAUUGAUUUCACACCGGUAAGGCUGAAAUUUAAAUGGGUAGUUUUUUGGAAGAGAUCCCAUUAAGGGAGGGUAUUUGGCCAUUUAUCAUAGGUUCAUAAUGAGUUAAUUAGUCAG
rnacentral:lncRNA from 1 species